UAGGGAAUCUUCGGCAAUGGGGGGAACCCUGACCGAGCAACGCCGCGUGAGUGAAGAAGGUUUUCGGAUCGUAAAGCUCUGUUGUUAAGGAAGAACGAGUGUGAGAAUGGAAAGUUCAUGCUGUGACGGUACUUAACCAGAAAGGGACGGCUAACUACGUGCCAGCAGCCGCGGUAAUACGUAGGUCCCGAGCGUUGUCCGGAUUUAUUGGGCGUAAAGCGAGCGCAGGCGGUUAGAAAAGUCUGAAGUGAAAGGCAGUGGCUCAACCAUUGUAGGCUUUGGAAACUGUUUAACUGGAGUGCAGAAGGGGAGAGUGGAAUUCCAUGUGUAACGGUGAAAUGCGUAGAUAUAUGGAGGAACACCGGUGGCGAAAGCGGCUCUCUGGUCUGUAACUGACGCUGAGGCUCGAAAGCGUGGGGAGCGAACAGG
rnacentral:rRNA from 1 species